rnacentral:rRNA from 1 species
AACGAACGCUGGCGGCAUGCCUAACACAUGCAAGUCGAACGAGACCUUCGGGUCUAGUGGCGCACGGGUGCGUAACGCGUGGGAACCUGCCCUUAGGUUCGGAAUAACUCCCCGAAAGGGGUGCUAAUACCGGAUAAUGUCUUCGGACCAAAGAUUUAUCGCCUUUGGAUGGGCCCGCGUUGGAUUAGCUAGUUGGUAGGGUAAAAGCCUACCAAGGCGACGAUCCAUAGCUGGUCUGAGAGGAUGAUCAGCUACACUGGGACUGAGACACGGCCCAGACUCCUACGGGAGGCAGCAGUGGGGAAUAUUGGACGAUGGGCGAAAGCCUGAUCCAGCAAUGCCGCGUGAGUGAUGAAGGCCUUAGGGUUGUAAAGCUCUUUUACCCGGGAUGAUAAUGACAGUACCGGGAGAAUAAGCUCCGGCUAACUCCGUG